rnacentral:rRNA from 1 species
GUAGGGGAGCGUUCUGUAAGCCUGCGAAGGUGUACUGUGAGGUAUGCUGGAGGUAUCAGAAGUGCGAAUGCUGACAUAAGUAACGAUAAAGCGGGUGAAAAGCCCGCUCGCCGGAAGACCAAGGGUUCCUGUCCAACGUUAAUCGGGGCAGGGUGAGUCGACCCCUAAGGCGAGGCCGAAAGGCGUAGUCGAUGGGAAACAGGUUAAUAUUCCUGUACUUGGUGUUACUGCGAAGGGGGGACGGAGAAGGCUAUGUUGGCCGGGCGACGGUUGUCCCGGUUUAAGCGUGUAGGCUGAUUUUCCAGGUAAAUCCGGAAAAUCAAGGCUGAGGCGUGAUGACGAGGCACUACGGUGCUGAAGCAACAAAUGCCCUGCUUCCAGGAAAAGCCUCUAAGCAUCAGGUAACAUCAAAUCGUACCCCAAACCGACACAGGUGGUCAGGUAGAGAAUACCAAGGCGCUUGAGAGAACUCGGGUGAAGGAACUAGGCAAAAUGGUGCCGUAACUUCGGGAGAAGGCACGCUGAUACGUAGGUGAAGUCCCUUGCGGAUGGAGCUGAAAUCAGUCGAAGAUACCAGCUGGCUGCAACUGUUUAUUAAAAACACAGCACUGUGCAAACACGAGAGUGGACGUAUACGGUGUGACGCCUGAAUGGCGUAAUGAUGGCCAGGCUGUCUCCACCCGAGACUCAGUGAAAUUGAACUCGCUGUGAAGAUGCAGUGUACCC